UCAUACGAAUGAGCGAGACAUUUUUGGGAGAACUGAUGCAGCAGUGCAAUACAGCUAAUAGUGUGCAAAGCCGAGACAUGCUGCAGAUAGGAUUAGAUAUCUUAAAGGACAGAAUACAUCACCACAAUGCAAUGGUUAUGUUAAGUAGGGAUUCUCUUUGCCCUAUAGGUGAAAACCCACCUGUUGAUGGUCAGGGAGAGUGCUGGACAUUUGGCUGUGCUCGUACACUGCUGAUGUUGGAGCGCUUUGAGACCAUUCUGUUGAGGAGUCAGGAGAACCCCCCUCCGUAUGAGGAGAGGUCUCAACCACACCAGUAGAGGAAACAAGGUCUUCCAGUGACUGUAAACAAAAACAAUAAUAUUUAUAGACAGUUAUCAAAUUUAAUAUUUAUAGUUUUUAACACAAAUCUGUUUAAUAGAAAUACAAUUAAAAUUAUGCUAACAAAUAUUUCUUUUCUUAUAUUGUUAUACUUUCAAAAGAAAAUAAAGGGAAUUUGUCUUUCAUAAAGUAGGUGUCAAUUUUUUGUAAACAAUAAAAAUGGCGGAUGUUGAAAACAAGUUACGUAAUAGCAUCUUACACAAACUUUAUCCGCAAUCUGCACUUCCGUGCUAGGGGUUGCUACAAUGGCCUGGCAACAAUUGUCUAUGGUGCAUGUUUUGAUGGCUACUUUUUCUAACUGCUGGCCAAAAGUCAUUAAUGUACUGGAACCCGCCAGUCUGUCCAGGGUAAUCUUCUUCACUGAAGUCGGCCCAUUGAAAAUGUAGCUGCCUUCCCCCUCAUACAGGCACUGCAGCUCCACUACCUCGUAGCUUUCAUCAACCACACUUCUGCAUUUCCUUAUAUUAAGGUCAUGCACUUGGCCAUUACAUACAACAAUACUCAACAACAACAAACACUUAGCGGGCACCAUUUUUUGAUUUUUCAGUUUUUUCUCUGUGAAUCGUUUGCGCAUGUGCACAUAAUCAACAGUUUAAUUAAAAAUAAAAAGGCGGGAGAUUAUGAUUGUGUCAACAAAAAAAAAAUAAAAAGAACAAUACGAAAAAGAAUAAAUAUGAAAGAAUUGAGAUGUUGCUAUAUGAUCUUCAACAAUAGCAUAACUCGAAAAAAAAGGAGGGAACGGAAACAUAUAAUAAGAAAAUAUUAGGUACGAGACAAUGGCACUCAAAAAAAAAUUUCAGAAAAAAAAUCGAACGUUUUGGGGUUUUUUUUACAAUGUAGCUGCUUUAGAUAAAGAUUUUAAGUUAAGAAACCCAAAAAUAAAGCAGAUGAAAUAUUAUCACAGUAUAGUUUCUAGAGAUUCAUCAACACGUUGUUUUGUUGUUAAGCGCAUUUUUGUUUGCGCACCACAUAAACAAUUUGGUAUAGAGUUGUUAUGCGAAACCUAAGAAUGGGGUGGUUAUCCCUCCAUUAGUCCCACCCCAUACUUCAAAGUGUAAUAUUAUUGGUUUAGAUAAUAUUAGCUAGAAAAAUGAAAUAAAUAUAGUAGUGCGUAUUUUUCGUUUACAAGUCAGUACUUCUAACCUUUGUCUAGAAAUCUAUUUACGAUUAAGUGUUAUAAUGGCAGCCGAAAAUGUUCAAUUUAGUCAAAUUAUUACUUCCACUGGUAGAACGGAAUACAAAACUCAAUUCGGGAGAGGGAAAGUGCUUACCUAUAAAAAGUCCGCUAGAGGACUCUUUUAUUUAGACUUGGCUGCGUCAAAUGGAUCAAUGAAGCUGAAUUUAGGGCUAGACGAGCUGGAUGAUCUGUUUACACUGAGGGGGCACCUAGAGUCCCUAACUGCAUACUUUCCACAGGUAAGACUAUUUUCUUUCUUUUUGUUUUUACACGAGGUUCACAUGUAGGAGUUUUCUUUAAAAACCAAGGAAAAUUAAAGAUUAUACCCUUUGAGGUGUUUUUUUUUCUCUGUUUGUAUGCGCUUACCGUAAACAACAGGAAGGUUUUAAGUAUUGUCUAUUACCGUUUAUCUUUCUGUUUAUCUAUCUACCUCGCUUUUGUUAGGGGAGAUAUCGGUGUUCACAUUUGCCUUUUAUUUUAACUAAUUUAAUGCAACAAUUGAAUAACAUAAAACGAAGAUGUGGUAUGAUUGUUAAUAAGAUAACUCUUCACAAGAGACCAAAUGAUACAGAAAUUGUCAACUUUUGGUCACCUUGCGACCAUCAACAAUAAGCAAAACCCAUACCUCAUAGUCAGCUAUAAAUAGCUUCAAAAUGAUGAAUGUAAAACAAACAUCCGAGGGGAGAAAAAAGAUAACAACCUAAUUUAUGUACAAAAUAAUGAACGAAAAACAAUAUGCACACCACCAACACCUCUCGCAAGUAUAAAACUUUCUUCAUAACAUUUGAGUUUGAGUUUUAUUUUAUUUUUCAUGUUUUAGCCGCUCUCCCAGCCACAGGAGCAGGUUGUACUUAAAGAAAAUGUAGCGCCGGUUUAUGCACCGCCACCACCACCAACACCUUCCGCACCUCUAACAAUAAUAUAUGAAAACGAGACGUCAACUACCACUCCACUUCAAACUAUAACAGACCCGAUGUGGAGCAAAGGAAAUAUGAUUCCGGUGAGGAUGGCCGCAAAGAGACCGAUACGUGAAGAAUUAAACCCACAGUGGUCUGGGAAGAAUACAAAAUAUGAACAGAUUUCCCCUGUGCAAAACAAUUUAUAUGAUCUCUCUGAGGAGGAAAUGGGAGCCUUUUUCCAAUCGAUGUGAUGAUGCUCAAUGUGGUGUGACUUUCAUUCAAUGUGGUGUUUAUAGGAAUAACAUUUAUAAAUUUCAUUACGGACAUAUAUGCAAACAGACUGACACGGCAUUCUACCUCCUGUUUGGUUUAACGGAUGAUGGUUGGCAACAUGGGUGAAUAAAGAAUCAACAUCAUCAAAGGAGACAUCACAGUGUCUACAUAAAAAUGCUACCCAAUGUCUUCCUGGUAAGCCUGCGACAUCUGUAUUGGCUAUCACACCCAUUCCUGGUAGUAGGUGAACUUGAGACAGUUCAUCAGAUGAGAAUACACCAAGAACAGAUCGUUGUAAGUCAACGUCUGAAACAAUGGCACACUUGAGCUGGAACAUAAUGCGGAACUUCGAAAAUGUUUGACCAGUUUCCCAUAGAGGCUGCACUUAACCUUCGAAGAAGUGGCUUUUGUUCUCCAUCGACAAUAGAUUCACCACAAAUAUUAGAAUACAGAACCUGAAUCCACAGAUACUUUGAAAAGAUAUCCACGACGACUAAUAGGUAUCGAAACUGACCGUUUUCACUUGCAAUGUUUGACAUAUCAGCGAGGUCCAUGUCCCACUGAUCAUCAAUUCCAGAUACAAUUACACGUGCACGACGAAAAGAAUGACGGAGUUCCUUUCUUAAAGUGUAACUGUCUUGACUUCGUAAUAGUCUUUUUAUCCUGGAUCGUCCAACAUUAGUGAUUCCUUUGGAUUUUAAUAUUCUGUAUAUUUUUUCGGGACCUACAUGUGUGUUUUUAUAUGUGUUUGAUAUUAAAUCAUUUAUUCUA